GGCAAGAUGGCCGAGCGGUUAAGGCGUGUGACUCAAGCGUGACAGCUUGCCUGUUCAAGGGUUUCUCAUCACGUAAUGUGGCGUGGGUUCGAGUCCCACUCUUGUCA